rnacentral:rRNA from 1 species
CCUACGGGUGGCAGCAGUGGGGGAUAUUGCACAAUGGGGGGAACCCUGAUGCAGCGACGCCGCGUGGGUGAAGGAGCGUUUCGGCGCGUAAAGCCCUAUCGGCAGGGAAGAAGAUGACGGUACCUGACCAAGAAGCCCCGGCUAACUACGUGCCAGCAGCCGCGGUAAUACGUAGGGGGCAAGCGUUAUCCGGAUUUACUGGGUGUAAAGGGGGCGCAGACGGCAAUGCAAGCCAGGAGUGAAAUCCCGGGGCUUAACCCCGGAACUGCUUUGGAAACUGUGCGGCUGGAGUGCAGGAGGGGUAAGCGGAAUUCCUAGUGUAGCGGUGAAAUGCGUAGAUAUUAGGAGGAACACCGGUGGCGAAGGCGGCUUACUGGACUGUAACUGACGUUGAGGCUCGAAAGCGUGGGGAGCAAACAGGAUUAGAUACCCCAGUAGUC